UACGAAGGGGGCUAGCGUUGUUCGGAAUCACUGGGCGUAAAGCGCACGCAGGCGGAUCGUUAAGUCAGGGGUGAAAUGCCAAGGCUCAACCUUGGAACUGCCUCUGAUACUGGCGAUCUUCGAGUCCGGGAGAGGUGAGUGGAACUCCGAGUGUAGAGGUGAAAUUCGUAGAUAUUCGGAAGAACACCAGUGGCGAAGGCGGCCACCUGGACGGUAACUGACGCUGAGACGCGAAAGCGUGGGGAGCAAACAGG
rnacentral:rRNA from 1 species